rnacentral:rRNA from 1 species
GACGAACGCUGGCGGCGUGCUUAACACAUGCAAGUCGAACGGAAAGGCCCUGCUUUUGCGGGGUGCUCGAUUGGCGAACGGGUGAGUAACACGUGAGUAUCCUGCCCUUGACUUUGGGAUAACUUCAGGAAACUGGGGCUCAUACAGGAUAGGAGCUCCUGCUGCAUGUUGGGGGUUGGAAAGUUUCGGCGGUUGGGGAUGGACUCGCGGCUUAUCAGCUUGUUGGUGGGGUAGUGGCUUACCAAGGCUUUGACGGGUAGCCGGCCUGAGAGCGUGACCGGCCACAUGGCGACUGCGGUACGGCGCAGAAUCCUACGGGAGGCAGCAGGGGAGAAUAUUGCACAGUGGGCGGAAGCCUGUUGCAGCAACGUCGCGUGCGUGAUGACGUGCUUCGGGUUGUAAACCGCUUUCGCCGGUGACGAGGCGUGAGUGACGGUAACGGGUAAAAAAGCACCGGCUAACUACGUG